rnacentral:rRNA from 1 species
UACGUAGGGCGCAAGCGUUGUCCGGAAUUAUUGGGCGUAAAGAGCUCGUAGGCGGCUUGUCACGUCGGGUGUGAAAGCCCGGGGCUUAACCCCGGGUCUGCAUUCGAUACGGGCUAGCUAGAGUGUGGUAGGGGAGAUCGGAAUUCCUGGUGUAGCGGUGAAAUGCGCAGAUAUCAGGAGGAACACCUGUAGCGAAGGCGGCACUCUGGGCCGUGACUGACGCUGAGGAGCGAAAGCGUGGGUAGCAAACAGG